rnacentral:rRNA from 1 species
AGCGAACGCUGGCGGCAGGCUUAACACAUGCAAGUCGAACGCCAUCUUCGGAUGGAGUGGCAGACGGGUGAGUAACGCGUGGAAACAUACCUUUUGCUUCGGAAUAUUCCCGGGAAACUGGGAGCAAUACCGAAUACGCCCUGAGGGGGAAAGAUUUACCGGCAAAAGAUUGGUCCGCGUUAGAUUAGGUAGUUGGUAGGGUAAUGGCCUACCAAGCCUACGAUCUAUAGCUGGUCUGAGAGGAUGAUCAGCCACAUUGGGACUGAGACACGGCCCAAACUCCUACGGGAGGCAGCAGUGGGGAAUAUUGGACAAUGGGCGAAAGCCUGAUCCAGCCAUGCCGCGUGAAUGAUGAAGGCCUUAGGGUUGUAAAAUUCUUUCACCGGGGACGAUAAUGACGGUACCCGGAGAAGAAGCUCCGGCUAACUUCGUGCCAGCCGCCGCUGUAA